rnacentral:misc_RNA from 1 species
UAAAAUGGUAAACAUCAAACCAAAGAAAGAGCUGAAGAUCAACUUUCGUGUUACAUGGACUGGGUAUGAGUAUCUGAACAUGUUCAGGGUUCAGACUCUUGUUUUCCAAAAUUUUAUAGUUUUUCUUUUAACUUGAAGGGUCAAGGUUUCAUACCAAAGUUCAAGUAACUUUAUCUGAUUGGUUAAGCGAAGAGUCGAAGUAACUAUAAAUAACUAGUUAAUUAAGGAAGUGGAUAGUUUCAGCAGCAGAAAUUCAGUUCACGGUCUUUCAAAUUUUACUAUAUGAAAAUACCUGGUUGACUGUCUUUGAUCCAA